rnacentral:pre_miRNA from 1 species
AUUUGCAUUACUGGGCAAUUCUUGCUUUGGCAGUUGGUAAACUCACACUGUAUAGCCAGUACUUAAGCAGGAAGAGUAAGCCUCACUGCCAAAGAAGAUUUGCCCCGCAAUUCAUAC